ACCCUACACCAACCCACCACACCUCUCUCUCUUUCUCAAGAACACCACUGGUUGAACCACCACCACCAUGAACGAGGUGGAAUGGCUCAAAACCAGCAAUGACGAGCGCUCUAUGUAGACCUAACUGCUGACCCAACAAUGGCGGCUAGGGUUCCGGUCAAAUUCCGGCUUACUCCAAUGACUAGUUAUUACUUUCCAUGUGUUAGAUUCGACUAGAUCGGCGAUGGUAGGGACUGGAUAUCGACAAGUAGGUACUAUUUGUGUGAGGAUCAGUUUUGGAUGUUUGAGUUUAUGAUAUUUUGUUUCUAAAAAUUGAUAGUGAGGACCAGUUUUGGAUGUUUGAGUUUAUGAUUUUUUGUUUCUGAAAAUUGAAAGUGAAGAUUAAUUUAGGUAUUUGAGUU